rnacentral:rRNA from 1 species
UACGAAGGGGGCUAGCGUUGCUCGGAAUCACUGGGCGUAAAGCGCACGUAGGCGGCUUCUUAAGUCAGGGGUGAAAUCCUGGAGCUCAACUCCAGAACUGCCUUUGAUACUGAGGAUCUUGAGUACGGGAGAGGUGAGUGGAACUGCGAGUGUAGAGGUGAAAUUCGUAGAUAUUCGCAAGAACACCAGUGGCGAAGGCGGCUCACUGGCCCGUUACUGACGCUGAGGCACGAAAGCGUGGGGAGCAAACAGG